rnacentral:rRNA from 1 species
GACAGAGGUGGCGAGCGUUAUCCGGAUUGACUGGGCGUAAAGGGCGCGUAGGCGGGAUAGCAAGUCGGUCGUGAAAUCCCUCGGCUCAACUGAGGUACGUCGAUCGAUACUGCCGUUCUUGAGGGUUGCAGAGGAGACUGGAAUUCCCGGUGUAGCGGUGAAAUGUGUAGAGAUCGGGAGGAACACCGGUGGCGAAGGCGGGUCUCUGGGCAACUCCUGACGCUGAGGCGCGAAAGCGUGGGGAGCAAACGGG